GUGUGCAUGUGCUUCUGCUGCCCCCAGCCGCUGCUCCUUUAAUUCGUGUUAGUGCCGGUUGUUUUUUUGCCCCUGAAAAUAGCACCUCAUUUUUAGGGCCGGCCCAAGGCGUCAUAGGCGGGUGACACCAUCAGCCAUCCUUGAAAAAAAUAGGACUUUGAUACAUAUCAUUUUUGUAGUAGUGGUAUUUACAAAGUUCCCAACUUUAUCACGACAUUGAAAUAUGAUGUUCGAACUGUUAUGGCCAUUCCGAAACCAUUGCAAACAAGAAGACUAUGAAGCUCAAUAUCCAUAAGAUUCGACCACCACGAGAUGCAGCAGUAACUUUGAAUACAAUAGUUGCUUUGGAGGAGAUGCAGAAGUAUGGUACAAUAUAUUUAACUCUACUUUCACAUUAUUUGGCAAAGAUGUCGAUGUUCCAGAUAUUGAGAUGCGUGAUGAAUUAUCACGCACCUCAUGAUUUAAUUCACACCUUCAAAACCAGAAGUGAGAUAGUUAUAAAGCUCUGCUCAGCAGCCCAUUUCAUGUCAACUCAUCUCUGAUUUGAGAUUGAUAUGCUUGGUAGCAGUUUGAUUAAACUACUUUGUGUGAUUGUUUCAUAUUUAAUAAAUCACAUCAUGUUUAUCAUACGUCCCCUGCUGGUGAAGCAAAUACCUAAAUUAUCUGAUCUAGGCCUAGGAAAUUUUUUACAACAGCUAUCAUGGGCCAUGCCUAGAAUUCUUAAUGUUUUUUCAUCCAUAGAUAGCAAAAUACUAAUAUAAGGUCAUACACUAAAAUAAACCCACUAUCAUUGAAUAUAGAAUAUAAAAACUAUUCUUUUAUAAGUUCAUUAAUUUUUAUUAUCGUUGAUAAUCACUAAGUGGAAACAUGAUAUGCUGUGGUAACUUGCUUGCUUUUUGUGUCUGGACAAGAACACCAUUCUUUCACAAUAAAAUUGGUGCAGUACUCGUACCUCUAGAACAGAAGAUUAUGAUAAAGUAAUGGGAAGAAAAUUUUGCAGAAAAGUUACUUAUCAUCCCCAAGGAAAUAAUAAUAAGGCACUUAUCCACAGGGAAAAAAUAAGGGCUCAAAGAAAGAUCCCUUCAGCUCAAAAAAAGGUAAAAGUACUGAUUCAGACACUUCAAUAUGUACCCAAGUGAAAUGUCUUUCGGUGUUCUACAUGCAUGCUAGCUCCAUCAUAUAUUUUCCUAAGCUCCAGAGGCUUGUCGGUGACGGGUAACUAGCGCGCCUAGGUGACGGAGCAAGAGGUCGCCGACUUCGCCUUGGACGGCAGCGACGCCCCGCGAGGGCUGAAGCUGCUGGAGAAUGUGCGGAACAAGGUCGUUAGGCCGACGAACUACUACUGGCAGGAGGCGUACCGGAAGCUCCUUGCCAGCUGUGGCAAAAUCAUGGCGGAUAAGGAGAGGCAGUCGCGUCUGGCGUGGCACCUCAGCAGCUGCUUUCAGGAGGACUCGGGGUAGCCAUCCUUCCCGUACUGUGCCGAUGGCUCCAAGAUGGUCCGUUGCCGCAAGCAGCUUACUGAAUCCAAGGACAAGGUGUUCCUUGAGUUCUUUCUCGAAACCAACACUUUGUGCCACCAAUUGCAGAAAGUUUUUCUUCUUCCCCCCUAAUUUUCAAUGCAGAUUGAAUGUUUGUCAGUAA